rnacentral:rRNA from 1 species
UACGUAGGAUGCAAGCGUUGUCCGGAUUGACUGGGCGUAAAGCGCACGCAGGCGGGUGCGCGCGUGGGGUGUGAAACCUGGCCGCUUAACGGCCAGCGGCCCGAUCCCAUACGGCGCGCCUGGAGCCUUGCAGAGGGCGGUGGAAUUGCCGGUGUAGUGGUGAAAUGCGUAGAGAUCGGCAGGAACACCCAGGGAAAGACAGCCGCCUGGGCAAGUGCUGACGCUGAGGUGCGAAAGCGUGGGGAGCGAACCGG